rnacentral:rRNA from 1 species
GACGAACGCUGGCGGCGUGCUUAACACAUGCAAGUCGAACGGAAAGGCCCUGCUUGCAGGGUGCUCGAGUGGCGAACGGGUGAGUAACACGUGGGUGAUCUGCCCCUUACUUUGGGAUAAGCCUGGGAAACUGGGUCUAAUACUGGAUAGGACCAUGCUGUAGGUGGUGUGGUGUAAAGAUUAGUUUCGGUAAGGGAUGAGCUCGCGGCCUAUCAGCUUGUUGGUGGGGUAAUGGCCUACCAAGGCGUCGACGGGUAGCCGGCCUGAGAGGGUGGACGGCCACAUUGGGACUGAGAUACGGCCCAGACUCCUACGGGAGGCAGCAGUGGGGAAUAUUGCACAAUGGGCGCAAGCCGGAUGCAGCGACGCCGCGUGGGGGAUGACGGCCUUCGGGUUGUAAACUCCUUUCAGCCAUGACGAAGCCCUUGUGGUGACGGUAGUGGUAGAAGAAGCACCGGCUAACUACGUG